CAGUAGCCGCGGUAAUACGUAUGUCCCGAGCGUUAUCCGGAUUUAUUGGGCGUAAAGCGAGCGCAGACGGUUUAUUAAGUCUGAUGUGAAAGCCCGGAGCUCAACUCCGGAAUGGCAUUGGAAACUGGUUAACUUGAGUGCAGUAGAGGUAAGUGGAACUCCAUGUGUAGCGGUGGAAUGCGUAGAUAUAUGGAAGAACACCAGUGGCGAAGGCGGCUUACUGGACUGCAACUGACGUUGAGGCUCGAAAGUGUGGGUAGCAAACAGGAUUAGAUACCCCUGUAGUCCCUGUCUCUUAUAC
rnacentral:rRNA from 1 species